AAAAAAAUGAGGAUGGGAUGCUACAUUGGUAAUGGUCGGGAUAGCUCAGCUGGUAGAGCAGAGGACUGAAAAUC
rnacentral:tRNA from 1 species